GUAGGCAUGUUGCAACUGAGCCAAACGGCACAGGUCCCAUUGUACUUGAUUUACAUGGUUCACGAAUUUGAUCGGACACCUCGUUUUAAAUGCAUGUCCGACUGAGGAGAAUCCCUGGGAACAAUCCU